UAAGCUCGUAGUUGGAUUUCUGUUAAUAAUUUAUAUAAAAUAUUUUGAUGAAUAUUUAUAUAAUAUUAACAUAAUUCAUAUUACUAUAUAUUUUAGUAUAUGAAAUUUUACUUUGAGAAAAUUAGAGUGCUUAAAGCAGGCAUAUGCCUUGAAUACUCCAGCAUGGAAUAAUAUUAAAGAUUUUUAUCUUUCUUAUUGGUUCUAAGAUAAGAAUAAUGAUUAAUAGGGACAGUUGGGGGCAUUUGUAUUUAACAGUCAGAGGUGAAAUUCUUAGAUUUGUUAAAGACAAACUAAUGCGAAAGCAUUUGCCAAGGAUGUUUUCAUUAAUCAAGAACGAAAGUUAGGGGAUCGAAGACGAUCAGAUACCGUCGUAGUCUUAACCAUAAACUAUGCCAACUAGAGAUUGGAGGUUGUUCCUUACUCCUUCGCACCUUAA
rnacentral:rRNA from 1 species